UCCGUAGGUGAACCUGCGGAAGGAUCAUUUACAGAAUGAAAAGUGCUUAACUGCAUUUUUUCUUACACAUGUGUUUUUCUCUUUUUGAAAACUUUGCUUUGGUAGGCCUUCUAUAUGGGGCCUGCCAGAGAUUAAACUCAACCAAAUUUUAUUUAAUGUCAACCGAUUAUUUAAUAGUCAAAACUUUCAACAACGGAUCUCUUGGUUCUCGCAUCGAUGAAGAACGCAGCGAAAUGCGAUAAGUAAUAUGAAUUGCAGAUAUUCGUGAAUCAUCGAAUCUUUGAACGCACAUUGCGCCCUUUGGUAUUCCAAAGGGCAUGCCUGUUUGAGCGUCAUUUCUCCCUCAAACCCUCGGGUUUGGUGUUGAGCGAUACGCUGGGGUUUGCUUGAAAGAAAGGCGGAGUAUAAACUAAUGGGAUAGGUUUUUUCCACUCAUUGGUACAAACUCCAAAACUUCUUCCAAAUUCGAGGUCAAAUCAGCGUGUACUACCCGCUGAACUUAAGCAUAUCAAUAAGCGGAGGAAAAG
rnacentral:rRNA from 1 species